CACGUGGGCAACCUGCCCUCAGCUCUGGGAUAACUCCAAGAAAUUGGUGCUAAUACCGGAUACGACUGCCGAUCGCAUGGUCUGGUGGUGGAAAGAUUUAUCGGCUGAGGAUGGGCCCGCGGCCUAUCAGCUUGUUGGUGGGGUGAUGGCCUACCAAGGCGACGACGGGUAGCCGGCCUGAGAGGGUGACCGGCCACACUGGGACUGAGACACGGCCCAGACUCCUACGGGAGGCAGCAGUGGGGAAUAUUGCACAAUGGGCGAAAGCCUGAUGCAGCCAUGCCGCGUGUGUGAAGAAGG
rnacentral:rRNA from 1 species